GGGCCUCCUGCUGCUGCCGCACCGCCAGAGCACAAUUUCUGUUCUCAUCCUGAAGCAAAGUUCUUAACCUGAGGUACUAUUUAUGGUUAGCGGAGUCUGUAACCUGAAGCACAUGUAACCCGAGGUACCACUGUAUACGAAGGUAAAAAUCAAAUAUCCAAUAUCUUUUUAUCGAAGAUAAAAAACUAAUCGAGAUAAAAACACAAACCAAUAAGAGGAAAAGAAAGAAGAAAAAGGAAGGAAGGAAGGAAGAAAAGGGAGAACUUCCAAUUCUUCGUCUGUCAGCUAUGUAAAAAAAUUAUUAAACACAUCUACUCCAAGAUAACAUCCAACAAGUCUGCUUUCUAUAAACCAAUAUUUUCUUCAAUCCUCAAACCCAGGUAUCAUAAGUUCAUUUUCUUUUUCACACCAAAAGUCUACGAGGAGUUCCAAAUCUUUAGUAACUAUUGAAAAUGAUUUUUCUUUUAUUAUACAUGUUAAGUUUGCCAUCUCAGCUAAGUCCAAUAAUUUUAACAACCAUUCCUCCAUGGUAAGUGAUGCUGAAUCUUUCCAUCUUGUGCAUGUAAAAGUCUCGCCACUAUGAUAGUGUAUUGAAAUAAUAUUUCAUAGUCUAGUACUUAAAGGUUUAAAUAUGAGGCUUUGGAGUGAUGCCACAUCUCUUGAGCUGCAGUGCUGCCUCAUUCAAAAACAUUUUGCUUCUAUAUAUAAUGUGCCUUCUCCACCCAGGGAUCAUUGAGUGGCAGAUGAGCCCAGCACAUCGUGUCAGUGAACCCUGACGCAUAGUUACCAGAACAGGGACCAUCGCUCUACCCCUUCCCAGAGCUCCUCUAUUGAGAGAGAAAUGAUUUCCAUCAAGGGAGGCAGCAGGAGUAGCUCAGGAAUAACUUUGUUUGUAACGUGUAACUGUGCUGGACAUAAAGAGCGUAUGGGGAGUACAAAAAUAAGAUGCACCCCCCUGAACCAAUCCCUGGAAGAAUAUGUAAUGUUCUUUGUUCAUAGGAAUACAGUAAAAGGGAAACUCGGGUGUUUUUUUAAUGUCUAAAAGGAAAUUUGGAUAAAGGCAAUUGUGUCCACUCUGUUUGCUAAAAAGGAAUGAGUUUAAAUUAUGAGAAAAUGCAUUUACGCUAAAUGUUGGGAGUAGGCUGUGUUACUCUAGCAGUUGUUCAGCGGCAGAAUGAGCUUCCUGGAGAAAGAGUGGGGUCUUUCUGUGGAGGUUUGUUUCAAAAUUAGAAGAAGGAGAAGGAGAACUGCUGGAUCAGCCCAAAGACCCAUCUGGUUCAGCACUCUUCUCACAGUGGCCAACCAGAUGCCCCAAUGAGCCCCCCUCCAAAAACGCAACCCGACGUGUGUUGUGCGUGUGAUGUCACACACACUCCGUGCAGGUAUGUGUGCGCAUGACGUCGCAUGUCUGUGUUACAGCAGCGGUCACCCGCAAUUCUAAGGGCCAGAUGGCGCCCCUGCCCACUGCUAUUGCUAGCAACUGGUAAUGGGAGGAAUAUUGCUUCUGAUGGUGGAGGGUAGAACUUGCUGUCUUGGCUAAUAUAAAUAAUAAUAAUAAUUUAUUAUUUAUAUCCCGCCCAUUUGGCUGGGCUUCCCCAGCCACUCUGGGCGGCUCCUCUUCAGAGUAGCAGUUGAAAUAGAUGUCCUCUAUAAAGCUUUUGAAGUUUGUGCCCUUUUGUGGAGCGGGGAAAGACUGAAUAGGAAAACUGAGGAUGGCAACUGUCUACAGUUGGUGUGCCCUCCAGGAGUUGUUGAGCUCUCAACUCCCACUUGUCACAGCUAGCAUAGUCAGUGGUCAGGGAUUUUGAGAACUGUAGUCCAGCAACAUCUGGAGAGUCCCAUGUUGGCUAACCCUCAUCUAAUGUUGUUGAGUUGCAGGUGGAAACAGUUAUGUUUGAAUAGGGAGAACCAGCACAGGUUUGCUUAGGGCUGCUGCAAAUAAAAUUUUAACAGCAUUCAUUGCUUGGGGAUAAGGUAAAUGAAUUUCCUCCCUUUCGCAAGAGAGAAGCCUGAAGGGGUGGGGGUUGUAAUAUAGUAUAGAUGGGAAGGUCUCUAUAGAUCACUUGGCCCUAAUGGCAGUGACGUCUCUGUAUCUGUGAAUCUUCUGCCUGCCUUGUCAUCUUUUAUAGGUUUUCUGAUUCAGUCAUUGUAUCCUGAGAUGGCUGGUCUGUCUUCCUCUUUCUUGACACACUCAUUUAAUUUUUAAGCUCGCCGGGCUUUUGCUUAUUUAUGUUCAUUGUGCUUGAUAAUAAUUCUAAGCCAUUAGAGGGGAAAAUUGUAUUCAAAAAUGCUGUUUCACACUUUAUUUGUUUGAUGAUCUGGAGUGAUAGAAAAUAACACAUUUGCUUGCUUUUAUAGUCUCAUAAUUAUUCACAUCCAUCAAGCCAUUCCAGGGGAAUAAACAAAACCCUGAAAAAACUGCACUAUUAAUAGCAUUUUCUUCAGCAACAAUGAAAAGUAUCUUUCUCAUGGGAUUGUCCAGUCAGGAGGCUCCCUGUAAGCAACUAUAAAGCUUCUGCUUUUUGCCAAGCAAACAAUUUUUUAAUCUGAUUACCCUGUAGAUUAAACAUUAGUGGAUGUGUGGUUGUUAGGGAAAUGUAGCACAGUCAGAAAUUGGAGACAUGCUUUGCUCUGGUGGUUUACUGGUUAGGUUAGGCUAAGUUAUACAUCCACCAAGAUUAAUACCUUCUACCCGUCCCCUCCCUAAGCCCCCCUCCCCAGCAUUUUUGUAUGAAUUGCUACUCUUGGUGUGGCUCCUUCUUGGAGGGAGGCCAGCUCAGGCAGAGAUACAACAGAUAGCCUUUUCUGAAAGUGGUUAGUUCAACCUGUUUCUUAAUUGAGAAUGAUUGAGAGAUCCAGUCAUGCCGCAUGGACAAAGUUGAACUACUCACACCCAGGGAGGGCUGAGUAGAAGCAUCAGAGCAGUGAGCAGGCAGCCAGAUCUGUGAGUGGCUAUUCUGGGCUCACAGGAGCUUCUAUUCAAUUCACAUUGAUUGCAGAGCACUAUCAGUUUCCUUAUGACACAUUAAUAUGGGCUUGGUGAAAAGUUAGGGAAUUAGUGUGCUAUAAGGUGUUCCUGAGGUGAACCUCUGGACAGGUAUUGAGAAUAUGCAUCCAGUGUAAGAAACUUAAGCCAACAACAACACCCAAAGUUAAGUGUCAAAUAUGUUCUAAACAGUUUUAAUGAGUGGUUAUUUAUAGUUAACAUUGUCACACAGAACGUUAUUUUUGAAUGAUAUUCACAAAUUUGAACUCUCUUGUUUUUCUCUUGGAACACCCAGAAUCCCACCAAUCCACCCAUUCAUAACUAUAUAUUAAUUCUGGUCUGUUGAUGGCUUGAAAUGUGGAUAGGCUCCCCCACUUUACAGGUGCUUCCUUGCUUGCUUGACCAGAGAUGAUACUUGUUUCCCAUCACCAGUGACACAGAUUAGCCUGCUUUAUAUACAGUGGUACCUCGGGUUACAGACGCUUCAGGUUACAGAUGCUCCAGGUUACAGACUCUGCUAACCCAGAAAUAGUACCUCGGGUUAAGAACUUUGCUUCAGGAUGAGAACAGAAAUCGUGCGGCGGCGGC